rnacentral:lncRNA from 1 species
CAUCAACACAUAUCAAUACACUUACAAAUGGAAUACAAUGAACUUUCACAACUACAAUUACAAACUAAAGCUACAACAAGAGUUAUUUAAUCAUUAUUCUCUGAGCUUAACAACAUUUUCUAAAUCAUUAUUGUUAUUAUUAUUAAAAGGCUAAAGACAAACGUUUAAAAAUAAAUCACUUCUAUGAAAAGGUAAAAUCCGUCCAAAAUUAAGUAACUCUUAAAAAUAUUGUCCUCCCAGCUAUAAUGGUAUAUGUCUCACUCUGCUGGUAUUGAUGGAUGGUAUAGGUCUCACACUCUGCUGGUAUUGAUGGAUGGUAUAGGUCUCACUCUGCUGGUAUUGAUGGCUGGUAUAGGUCUCACACUCUGCUGGUAUUGAUGGAUGGUAUAGGUCUCACUCUGCUGGUAUUGAUGGAUGGUACAGGUCUCACUCUGCUGGUAUUGAUGGAUGGUAUAGGUCUCACACUCUGCUGGUAUUGAUGGAUGGUAUAGGUCUCACUCUGCUGGUAUUGAUGGAUGGUAUAGGUCUCACUCUGCUGGUAUUGAUGGAUGGUAUAGGUCUAGGUCACACUCUUCUGGUAUUGAUGGAUGGUAUAGGUCUCACACUCUGCUGGUAUUGAUAGAUGCUUAUGUACUGAAGUAUGAGAUAGAGA